UCACGAAUCUUCCUCAAUGGCCGCAAGGCUGAAGGAGCAAUACCGCGUGGUUGAAGAAGCCCUUCGGGGUGUAAAAAUCUUUUAUUAGGGACGAAACAAUGACGGUACCUAAUGAAUAAGGGGCUGCUAACCUCGUGCCAGCAGCAGCGGUAAUACGAGGGCCCCAAGCGUUAUCCGGAUUUAUUGGGCGUAAAGGGUCCGUAGGUGGUUUGUCGCAUCUUCUGUUAAAUCCCGAGGCUCAACCUCGGAACCGCGGAAGAGAUGGACAGACUAGAGGUCGGAAGAGGUAAGCGGAAUUGCUGGUGUAGGGGUUAAAUCCGUUAAUAUCAGCAGGAACACCAAAUGCGUAGGCAGCUUACUGGAACGAUCCUGACACUGAGGGACGAAAGCGUGGGGAGCG
rnacentral:rRNA from 1 species